AUAUGCCUACGGGGCGCAGCAGUGAGGAAUAUUGGUCAAUGGGCUUACGCCUGAACCAGCCAAGUCGCGUGAGGGAAGACUGCGCUAUGGGUUGUAAUCCUCUUUUGUCAGGGAGCAAUUGGCGCUAAGUGUAGCGUUAUCGAGAGUACCUGAAGAAAAAGCAUCGGCUAACUCCGUGCCAGCAGCCGCGGUAAUACGGAGGAUGCGAGCGUUAUCCGGAUUUAUUGGGUUUAAAGGGUGCGUAGGCGGAAUGCCAAGUCAGCGGUAAAAUCGCGGGGCUCAACCUCGCUCCGCCGUUGAACCUG
rnacentral:rRNA from 1 species